rnacentral:tRNA from 1 species
GCCUGGGUGGCUCAGUCGGUUGAGCGUCCGACUUCGGCUCAGGUCAGGAUCUCGCAGUUUGUGAGUUUGAGCCCCACUACGGGCU